rnacentral:ncRNA from 2 species
AGACUGCGCGCGCUUCGAGGUGACCCGGCGGUGCGAGCCGCGGGUUGAAACGGGAAGCCGGUGCGUCCCCACGACCACGCCGGCGCUGCCCCCGCAACGGUAGGCGGAUCGAGCCGCGGCAUCGGCCACUGUGCGUCACGCAUGGGAAGGCGCCGCGGCGGGAACGCGUCAUGCGAUCCGUCCGCGAGCCCGGAGACCGGCCUCGUGCACGGGCGUGUC